rnacentral:rRNA from 1 species
CUGCACCUCAAGUGGUCAGGAUGAUUAUUGGGCCUAAAGCAUCCGUAGCCGGCGCUGUAAGUUUUCGGUUAAAUCUGUACGCUCAACGUACAGGCUGCCGGGAAUACUGCAGCGCUAGGGAGUGGGAGAGGUAGACGGUACUCGGUAGGAAGGGGUAAAAUCCUUUGAUCUAUUGAUGACCACCUGUGGCGAAGGCGGUCUACCAGAACACGUCCGACGGUGAGGGAUGAAAGCUGGGGGAGCAAACCGGAUUAGAUACCCGAGUAGUCC